rnacentral:rRNA from 1 species
GACGAACGCUGGCGGCGUGCUUAACACAUGCAAGUCGAACGGAGUGGCGAACGGGUGAGUAACACGUGGGUGACCUGCCCUGCACUUCGGGAUAAGCCUGGGAAAAUGGGUCUAAUACCGGAUAGUGUGGGAUGGGCCCGCGGCCUAUGAGCUUGUUGGUGGGGGAAUGGCCUACGAAGGCGGCGACGGGUAGCCGGCCUGGGAGGGGGGACGGGCACAAUGCGCCUAAGACACGGCCCAGACGCCUACGGGGGGCAGCAGGGGGGAAUAUGACACAAUGGGCGGAAGCCUGAUGCAGCGACGCCGCGUGGGGGAUGACGGCCUUCGGGUUGUAAACUCCUUUCACCAUCGACGCGGUAGAUGGAGAAGAAGCACCGGCUAACUACGUGCCAGCAGCCGCGGUAAUAC